rnacentral:rRNA from 1 species
UUUUCGCAAUGCCCGAAAGGGUGACGAUGCGACGCCGCGUGGGUGAAGAAGGCUUUCGGGUCGUAAAUCCCUGUCAAGAGUUAUGAAAGCAGCUCUGCUGUUUGACAAAGGCUCUAAAGGAAGUCACGGCUAACUCUGUGCCAGCAGCCGCGGUAAUACAGAGGUGGCAAGCGUUGUUCGGAAUUAUUGGGCGUAAAGAGCACGUAGGUGGCCAAAUAAGUCAGGUGUAAAAGACCCUCGCUUAACGAGGGGCCUGCAUUUGAAACUGUUAGGCUAGAGUGUAGAAGGGGAGAAUGGAAUUUCUGAUGGAGCGGUGAAAUGCGUAGAUAUCAGAAGGAACGCCGGUGGCGAAAGCGAUUCUCUAGUAUACAACUGACACUGAGUGUGCGAAAGCUAGGGGAGCAAACAGGAUUAGAUACCCUGGUAGUCCUAGCCGUAAACGAUGGGCACUAAGUAGAGGGGUUUUAA